rnacentral:rRNA from 1 species
AGUGAACGCUGGCGGUAGGCUUAACACAUGCAAGUCGAACGGCAGCACAGUAAGAGCUUGCUCUUACGGGUGGCGAGUGGCGGACGGGAGAGGAAUACAUCGGAAUCUACAUUUUCGGGGGGGAUAACGUAGGGAAACUUACGCUAAUACCGCAGACGAUCUACGGGUGAAAGGAGGGGAUCUUCUGACCUUGCGCGGUUGAAUGAGCCGAUGUCGGAUUAGCUAGUUGGCGGGGUAAUGGCCCACCAAGGCUCGGAUCCGUAGCUCGUGUGAGAGGAUGAUCAGCCACACUGGAACUUAGACACGGUCCAGACUCCUACGGGAGGCAGCAGUGGGGAAUAUGGGACAAAGGGCGCAAGCCUGAUCCAGUCAUACCGCGUGUGUGAAGGAGGCCUUCGGGUUGUAAAGCCCUUUUGUUGGGAAAGAAAAGCAGCAGGUUAAUACCCCGCUGUUCUGACGGUACCCAAAGAAUAAGCACCGGCUAACUUCGUG